ensembl:lncRNA
GUUCCUUUUGUCUCUCUUAAGAGUUUCAAUGGCCAUUUUCGUCUCCGUUUGAGCUUUGCAACUGGGAAACAAAGAAAUCUUUAAAGAGUAAAAGGCUCCACCCCUGGGAGCCCCAACUUUGGGUUUCUGGGCCUGAUCACCCCAGCAACCCUAAGUGGGGGUGCCCUCUCUUGACAGUUGACUCAUUGAGUGUUUUAGUCACCUAGUGAGUCGGUUAUGAGGGUAGGAGACCUGUGAUUUAUUCUGUGAACUGUCGUGCUAGCGUAGUGUGCCCCAGCACGGGAACUGUUGUGUGACUCUUAUCUUGAUAACCCUCUGGAAGAGGCCAUGAGGGUGAGGUCUGAUCUCUUCUUUUCCUUUCUUUGUCUGUUUUGCUCAUCAUCUCUUCUGUUGUCACCAAGUCGAGGUUAAGUUCAGGCUAGACCUGAGCAGAACCUUGACCUUCUGUAAAAUUGGAAAAAUAAGUCACGUACCCAUGCCUUAUAAAAUUAGCCCUAACCCUCAACUCAGGGCAGCAGCAGGAGCUCUGACUGCCCAUGGGUCCUGUCCCCAUGCCAGCAGGGGCUGCAGCAGCUGCUCUGCCUGCCCAUGGGACCUGUCCCCAUGCCAGGGGGGGCAGCAGAAGCGGCGGCAGCAGAAGCUCUGACUGCCCAUGGGUCCUGUCCCCAUGCUAUUCCACUCUAUUCUCUAAAUAAAAGAGCACUACUCCAAGAUCUUGAGAGUCUAAGAAAUCUUUCUUUUGACUCCUCGGCUCACCGACCCCGCAUCACUCUAAUUGCCACAUACCAGUAAUACCCAUCCCCUCUGCUGUCGUAAGAACCAAAAAUGUCUCCAGACAUUGCCACAUGGCCUUGGGGAUCAAAAUCACCCCUGGUUAGGAACCACUGGCAUACCUGCACCAUUUUAUAGAUAGGCAACUUCAAGGACCAAAGAGUAACAGGGAUGGGGGCUGACUGUUUCCCGCUACACAGAGAAAAGGCAGGGGCUUUGAAUGGUGGGAGAUGGUUUCAUAAACUUUUCUCUGUUUCCACAAGGUCAACUCAUCUCUACCUCAGUUAAAAAAGAAAAGGGCAGGUUGUAGCGUAAUAUGAAAAUGUGGUCCAACUAAGUUUAUUUUAUUUUAUUUUGUUUUGAGGAAGAUUUGCCCUGAGCUAACAUCUGCCACCAAUCUUUCUCCUUUUUUGCUGAGGAAGACUGGCCCUGAGCUAACAUCUGUGCCCAUCUUCCUCUACUUUAUAUGUGGGACGCCAGCCACAGCAUGGCUUGCCAAGUGCUGCCUAUGUCCCCACCCGGGAUCUGAACUGGUGAACCAGGGCUGCCGAAGCGGAACGUGCAAACUGAACCGCUGUGCCAUCAGGCUGGCCCCUGAAGUUUAUUUUUAAGUAUGUAAAUCCACAGCAAAAGGACUAAAAAAUUUUUAAAGUAAAUGUUAAAUAUGCAAAUCUUUGUGUGAUGGAGUCAUCGGUAAUAACUUUUGCUUCUUUGUGUUUCUUUCUAUCUUCCAAAUAUUAAAUGAUUGCGUUGCUUCUCUCCGAAGGUUUUAUUAUACAACGUUGGAAUGUCAGGUUUGUGAGGGCAUGCCCUUUCCUCUAAGUGGACGUGUGAAGUUCUGUUAUAGACACUAUCCCAACGCCCGAUUAUAAACCCAUCCAUGUUAGCAGCACAAAGGUAUUUGCUGUCAACACCUAGGUAAUUCAACACUGUAUGGACAGCGUGAACUGAUGCUGAUUUUCUCUCUCAGCCAAUAAGACUCAUCGAAGAGCCUUUUGAGUGACUCAUGGAGAAACACUGCCCUGAGCCCAGCACUUGAUUCCAUUUGAAACAUGGGUUAGCGUCGGAAGGAGUCACAUUUUUUUAGUAUGAAAUUUUUCCAUUCAAGAAAGGGUAAACACUUCCCCACUCUUGACUGCACAACUCGGGUGUUAGAAUUCACUUUUUCCCUCGAGGACGUUCUGCACAGAAUGGAGUUCCCUAAAAUGGGGCUUACUGCUUUCCAGGCUUGUCAGCUGGCCCCCGUUCUAGGAUUUCGCUUCCUUGUAUUCUUGGGGGGCAAACUCGUCGCGUGGCUUACUGGAGCUCCUAGCUAUGCGGCUUUUUCAAUAACCAGUGAACACCCUAAGAAUAACGUUUUAAUUUGGACAUCUCGUUUAUGAAUCUAAAGGUCUGGCGAGUGACGAAGGAAGAACAGGCUGCUUUGGACCUCCUGAGAGAUGGACGUAGGUCUCCACCGUGACAUGAAAAUGUGGCCUCAGCAAAACCACCACCGAGGCCAGCAAGAUACUCUUGUAAUUAGUUAAACAAGAAGUCCAUCAGGAUGAGGUGACUCUCAUUGAUAACCUAAAGAGCAAGCCCAACCCUGAGUCAGAGUUGAUUCCUGCAAAUGCACCCAAAUUUGAGAAAACAAACAGCCGUUCAUAAACAGCCAACCAGCCUUUCCCAAAUAAGGCAUCCGCUUAUGCCAUCGCCUAUCGAAUAAUCUCCUUGCUUUGCUGCUGCAUCUGCCCUAUAAAACGUUUCCCCUGGCCUGUCCGCCCCCCGGAACCACGUUAGGUGUGGC